ensembl:lncRNA
UUGCUGAUAGUGUGUGUGAAGUUAAUAAGGUUCUAAUUUCAACGUCGUGUUCUUGUAUGUGUGGUUGUGAACGACAUGGAUAAGGAUAAGGCUGUGCUAGGCAAUGAUUCCUAACAAAACUAACUGUACACAAUGUAGACAGGGACAGCACAAAAUAGUAUUCAAGUGCUGGUGUUUUAUUUGUUGCAACACGGUGGAUGAUACAAAAAUAUAAAGGUAGGUGUUAAGGAGAAAAGGGCUAGCUGCAGUUGGAAAAAGGUAGCUAGCUAGGCUAGCUCUCGGGGCUACGAGCUUUUUCAAAAGACUGGGGCAAAUUACUCCUUAGAAUAGGCUACGAAUAGACCUACUGCAAGCGCAGUAAGGUAUUACUAAGGAAGGAGUGAGUCUUUAAAAAGACUGUUUAUAAAGCAAUGAAUAUCUGAAUGAUACAGGAAACAAGAGAAAUUGAACAAACUCUGCAGAGUCAUCUCAGGGUGAGAGCUUACCAAUGCCUGCGGGGUUUUUUUAUACUCGGAAACUUAGGUGCAACUCGCGUUCAAAUGAAAAAACUCCGUUUUGAUUGGUGGAUCAGGAGCAAAACCGUAUUUGAUUUGUUUGGGUCAGUCCAGCCCCUUGCAUUUCGCCACUGAGGGAGCUUUCACUAACCAGUGACAGGUCAGCGGUAGUUUUUCUUUUUCUCCGUCUGUGACAUCGCGCCCCCCCUGGAGAGUGUUCGCGCCCCCCACUUUGAGAACCACUGCUAUAGACUAACACAGGCUGGUCUCUAUAGACUAACACAGGCUGGUCUCUAUAGACUAACACAGGCUGGUCUCUGGUCUCUCUAGACUAACACAGGCUGACACUCAGAGAUGCCAGAUUAUGGCUGUUUAAACCAGUGAUUAAUAUCAGGCAAUGGAGUGAAUGAACACAAGCCAUACGUGCUUGCUGAUUAUGAUUCCUGGGACACGGGGGAGGCGACCAGCUGAACAGCUGUGCUGGUGUCGAAGAAAUAUCUUUAGAUAUUGAAGCUCACUCUUUAAAUGAUUUCAUGAGGAACCACUUCACUUUCUUUUUCACUCAUUCUUCUGUAGUGUGGAUCGGAGGAGUGUCGGAGAGUCGUUCAGUGAUCGGGAACAUCUACUUGUCCCAAUGGCAGCAUGUUUUAUAGCAUGUUUGUUUAUCUCUUUUGGAGGCUCAUUGAAAAGAUUCAACAAGUUACCAGAACACAAUAAAAUACAUAAUACAUUAAAACUCCUCUAUCAGUUUCCACGGCAGGUAUUGUGAGUUGUGUCUGGCUGCGCGUCUUCUGCGGGGUGAUUAGGGUCGAGAGGCUGGGACCCGUGCGAAAAGACAGCGAUGUUUUAAAAGACUGAUCAGUGACGAUCAUUUGAACAGUCGACGUUUCAAUAGUUCACAUAUAACAUGUCAUAAUGUUUCACGAGUAACUGAUCUUGCCACCGAGGCUAAAUGAACUGGACUGCCAAUAAACGGACGAUUCAACAGGACGCCGUUGGUCUUACCUGAGGUGAUGCUGACAAGGGGCAGAACCAGCGGCAGAAAAACGGCGAUGCGAAGAUCCAUGGCCGUGACACCGUCGGCGGAACUUUAACUGUACGAGAGAUCCAGCGCCGAACGGCAGGUGCGAGUCCGUCACCGCCUCAAAUGUGGCAACUCUAAAUCUAGUCCUGAAAGAGUGAGCGAGAGAAAAACAAUCACUCGCGCACAGGUCCUCAGCUGGAAUUCCUCAAGCGAUGCAAAUAUCCCCGCAGAACUUAAAAGCACUCUUCCAGACCUCGUGGUUUCCCGUGAAAUCAGGACGCAUCCUAAAGACAGUCCUCACGGGGUAAACAGUCCUUCAUGGUAUCAGGCUUAAGGCGUGAAUGUUCAACAUCCUGCGUAAAAAAAAAAAAAACUCUUGUAAGGAGUUUGCACGCAUGCCUAAACGACUGCAAAACGAAUUCGCUCGUCUUCAGUUCAACUCCAAAUGUCAAAACCGUGCCCGCGCAUCCUUAUUCCCUGGUUAUUCGGUGUACGAGACAGCUGUCUGAAGCCAGAGUGAUUUUCAUCGUUCUGCGUUGCGUCCGCGAGCUCCUUGAGUGAGUGAAAGCGGUCCUCUCCAACUAUCAACCGGACGCGGCACUGGACGGCGCAUCCCUCGCGCAUCCCUCUCCCCUCCUGCGUUGCGUUCGGCGUCCACGCGGGAGUCUUAAAGAGACCGUGAACCCCUUUGCGUCAUCCAUCUCACUGUUGGGCCAC